UACAGAGGGUGCGAGCGUUAAUCGGAAUUACUGGGCGUAAAGUGUGCGUAGACGGUUAUUUAAGUCGGGUGUGAAAGCCCCGGGCUCAACCUGGGAAUUGCAUUCGAGACUGAAUAGCUAGGGUACGGUAGAGGGAAGCGGAAUUUCCGGUGUAGCGGUGAAAUGCGUAGAUAUCGGAAGGAACAUCAGUGGCGAAAGCGGCUUCCUGGACCAGUACCGACGUUCAGGCACGAAAGCGUGGGGAGCAAACAGG
rnacentral:rRNA from 1 species